rnacentral:rRNA from 1 species
GACCUGCCCGGUGAAUUUUUUAACGGCCGCGGUACUCUGACCGUGCAAAGGUAGCAUAAUCAUUUGCCUUAUAAUUGAAGGCUAGAAUGAAUGGUUUGACAAGAAUACAACUGUCUCUUUACAAUUACAUAAAAUUUUAUCUGCAGUUGAAGAAGCCUGCAUUUGAAUAAAAGACAAGAAGACCCUAUCGAGCUUAAAAAAAACUGGUGGAAUAACAAACUUAAUCCUAACUUAUAAAUAAAUAAAUAGUCAACUACUGGAAAUUUUGGUUGGGGCGACCGGGGAACAAAAAAAACUUCCUUUAUAAAAAUUUAGAUGCCCAAAUAUUGAUCCAGCAUUAUAUGAUUAAAGAAAUUAGUUACCGUAGGGAUAACAGCAUUAUCUUUUUUAAGAGUUCUUAUCGAAAAAAGGUUUGUGACCUCGAUGUUGGACCAGAAUAUCCUAAAGAUGCAGCC